GACGAAGGGGGCUAGCGUUGUUCGGAAUUACUGGGCGUAAAGCGAGUGUAGGUGGUUUUCCAAGUUGGAUGUGAAAGCCUUGAGCUCAACUCAAGAAAUGCAUUCAGGACUGGAAGACUAGAGGACCGGAGAGGAUAGUGGAAUUCCCAGUGUAGUGGUGAAAUACGUAGAGAUUGGGAAGAACACCAGUGGCGAAGGCGGCUAUCUGGACCGUAACUGACGCUGAGGCGCGAAAGCGUGGGGAGCAAACAGG
rnacentral:rRNA from 1 species